rnacentral:rRNA from 1 species
UUGCUUUCUUUGCUGGCGACCGGCGCACGGGUGAGUAACACGUAUCCAACCUGCCCUUUACUCGGGGAUAGCCUUUCGAAAGAAAGAUUAAUACCCGAUGGCAUAAUGAUUCCGCAUGGUUUCAUUAUUAAAGGAUUCCGGUAAAGGAUGGGGAUGCGUUCCAUUAGGUUGUUGGCGGGGUAACGGCCCACCAAGCCUUCGAUGGAUAGGGGUUCUGAGAGGAAGGUCCCCCACAUUGGAACUGAGACACGGUCCAA